UACGGAGGGUGCAAGCGUUAUCCGGAAUCACUGGGUUUAAAGGGUGCGUAGGCGGUCAGGUAAGUCAGUUGUGAAAUACCCCGGCUUAACCGGAGGAACUGCGAUUGAUACUGUUUGACUUGAAUCAGGUUGAGGUAGGCGGAAUGUGGCAUGUAGAGGUGAAAUGCUUAGAUAUGCCAUAGAACACCGAUUGCGAAGGCAGCUUGCUGGGCCUGUAUUGACGCUGAGGCACGAAAGCGUGGGGAGCAACCAGG
rnacentral:rRNA from 1 species